UUAUCAAUGAACUGAUUAGCAUCAUGUUCAUUUUGAAGAUGACAUUGUUUGAAAGGUUUUCGGAGAAAAGGAAGUAUUCUGAAAUAUUGGAAUUUAAAUUAAUUUCUAUUAAUGUGCUUACAAUUAAUAUUGAAAUUUUAAAGUGUUUUU
ensembl:ncRNA ZK40.7 ncRNA